UACGUAGGGCGCAAGCGUUGUCCGGAAUUACUGGGCGUAAAGGGCGCGUAGGCGGCCGAUCAAGUCAGGCGUGAAAUUCCCGGGCUCAACCUGGGGGCUGCGCUUGAUACUGAUUGGCUUGAAUGCGGGAGAGGAUAGUGGAAUUCCCAGUGUAGAGGUGAAAUUCGUAGAUAUUGGGAAGAACACCGGUGGCGAAGGCGGCUAUCUGGCCCGUAAUUGACGCUGAGGCGCGAAAGCGUGGGGAGCAAACAGG
rnacentral:rRNA from 1 species